rnacentral:rRNA from 1 species
UACGUAGGGGCUAGCGUUAUCCGGAAUUACUGGGCGUAAAGGGUGCGUAGGUGGUUUCUUAAGUCAGAGGUGAAAGGCUACGGCUCAACCGUAGUAAGCCUUUGAAACUGGGAAACUUGAGUGCAGGAGAGGAGAGUGGAAUUCCUAGUGUAGCGGUGAAAUGCGUAGAUAUUAGGAGGAACACCAGUUGCGAAGGCGGCUCUCUGGACUAUAACUGACACUGAGGCACGAAAGCGUGGGGAGCAAACAGGGAUUAGAUACCCCCGUAGUCCCUGAGCGGGCU